CCCCCCCCCCCUUCUUCGUUGCCUACCCCAACAUGGCCGCAUAUGGCGCGAUCAUAUAGACCUAAAAAGAAAGGCAGCAUUCGCACGACUCAUGACACUCUAUCCAGUCAUGAGCCGGCGACUAGGGAGCUCAGUAAAAAUGGCUUAAUAAUAUAUAAAGCGUUAAUUAAACCCAUUAUAACAUAUGCGGCACCAGUGUGGGCAACAGCAGCGGAGAGUCAUCUGAUAAAGUUUCAGCGAAUUCAGAACAAGAGCAUUCGUAUUGCGCAAUGACGCGCCUGUGUAAUGCUCCGUCAGGGCUAUGCACAGGGAGCUUAAACUCGAACUUCUGAAAGAUUAUUAUGUCAGAACUGCACAUAAAUUCUAUGACCGACCAGACUGGCCAAUCAACGCCGCGUACAGAUCCCCCGGACUGGAAAAUUUCCUACGCGAGUAAUACUUAACUUUAUAAUUAUUUAACCUAUAAAUACUAAAUAAACAAGUAGGCUGAUAUUAUUCAGCAAUGAAAGCCGUGCCAUGCAUGGAGGCCAUGGAGGUAAUAGUCUAUGAAGUGGAAGCAGGCGUACUUUUCAAGGGUAAUCAAUGAAGCUUGUACCCGAAAUAAAAUCUUUGGACAGUGCAUGCGCACGACGAUUGUUUACAUGUCCCGCCAUAUCGCGGGUGGCAAAAGAAUAGCAGACAGCAAUGUAAUUUUUAUGACGCUGCCAUCGUCCGGGUUCUCGUGUUCGAGACCGGGCAUGGAUCCUAGCGGGAAAGCUGGCUCUUAAUGAAAAUGUGUCCGGGAGGGCGCCAGGCUAGCUCUGUGUCUAACCAAAAGUUGGGUCGGUGGGUGCGAAUGCCCCUGUGUGCCCCGCGUAAUGUUUAGUGCGGGGAGUUGUAACGGUUCGUUACUCACAAAAAUAAAAAGAUUUAAAGCGUCGAUUUUCGUUGUUUUAUUCUUUGAAGUUAUAAUGCACAAACGAAUCCAAUGUUUCAUUCACUCGUUUCACACAUACAUCUGCCCGUCGAAAACUGCCCGCAGUUCGCUUGAUGAGUUUUAAUAAUAAAAAUAAUAACGUCGAUUAAGUCCUUCAGUAAGGAAACUAUCCGAGAAUAUGUGCGGCCUCAAGCACGGCCGCACCUUGCAAAAAACAGCGAGCCGCCGAAACGCGGCCUCGCCUGGCAGCGAUCGCCCGACGACUACUACUGAACUCAUGACACGUCUCCUCCACUUAGGGAGUAGACGUCACAUGACCUCACCGACCAAUCACACGCACGCUUCAUUCACGCUUACAGAUACAAGCCAAUCACAGAACAAGUUACAAUACAUGAAAAAACCUUUUACACUCAGAACUCUGGGCUUCCCCUGAUUAGUCUCUUUUCAAUUUCACAUCGAAAUCGGGGACUUCCAUUCUCGUUCUCUCUCCCACACCUUGAGAGAGCAGUUAUCACUCAGUUCCCAUGCAGGGGGGUAAUUACCGUCUUUAUCUCGGUUGGCGGGGAAGCACUGUUCCUUUCUCACUCCCACUUACAGGCCUCUCAUGCCUCUCUUUCUAACCAUCACACAAGCCCAGACACAGUCCCGUGAUUUAUAAUUAUAUUACAACACAUUAAUAAAAUUUAAGAACGAUAAUUAAAAUACGAAUUACUUUACAAAAUUAAACUUAUUGAGAAAAACCUGAAUAAGUAGGCCUAAACAGGUAAAAAUCUAGAACAGCGACUUCUUUGUGAAUAAUUCCAUAAUAAAUAGUACUGAUUGAAAAUGUCUAAUAAAAUAAUAAAUACCUUCUUAAAAACAUAGCAAGUGAAAAAUAUCAACCCUAAAAUAUAUAACAAACUGUAAAAUAUCAUUAGAAAGACUUUUUAAGAAAUAUUUACAUUCAUGAAAAUAGUUUAAAAGAAAAAUUAUUUAAUUAGGAGGGCAGGGUUCUGCAACAUUACAGAGUUUAUACUUAAGUGGCUGGGUUAGGCCCUACACCGUAAAAAGGACCGGGUACGCAUGUGGAGUUUAAGCAACGAAAAGGAUUUGAAUUAAUGACUAUAGUUACCAGUAGUGAAUUUCAGUGGAGACAAAGGAUGAUGACUCCCCGUGAAACGCACGUCCGCCCCGGUCCGCGUGUCUCUCGGUACUGGCAUUUGCCCUUGGCGCGAGGGGAGGCCUCAGCGUUCUCUCGCGCCAAAGUUUCUAAAGUUCUGUUAUUCAGAAAUUAUUUCAAUAACAAGAGAUGAGUGUGGCUCUAAAUUCAUACAUUAAUUAUUAAUGAUUAAUCUAAUUUGCAGAGACUCUCUAAGAAUUAGGUUUAACAAGUUUACAUAAAUUAAGUUUAAAUAAUAAGAGUCACACCAGAGACUGUUCGUCACUUGUUGACUGCUCCAGUGGCAAGUUAUACACUAAAAAUGGGGAGGUCAUAUUUACGUUACACAAUACUCUAAUUAAUUUAGGCUGGAGGCCACAAGGGAGACACUCACAAAUGUAUUAACGUAAUUUCACACGUGAGUGACCCGGGCACUCCUGCGUCGCACUUCCCUUGGGCGGGUUUUUAAAUAAAUAGUGGCGUUACUAUUAAAUUGUGUCUGAUUUCUAGUGAACUGGGGUUAAGGUGGCUGAUUAAUUAAGACACAGCCCUUGAUUCUACCUUGUCCUCAGGGGCUCGCCUGACUCGGGUGCGUUCCGUUAGCGGGUUCGGAUAUGGCGGUUGCAGGUCGGGCUUUGGGGUGGCUUUCGGCCAGACGACGUCAAUACUUCUUCAUCUGGAUCAGCCUCUUGUAGGUCAGGGUUAACAUCUUGUACUGUCUUAAGCUUCUUGUAGAAUUCAUGAAAUAUUGGUGGAAUAAAGCUGAGUAGAGCCAUCAAAUCUUUCUUUAUCUCAGCUGAAAUAGGAACAAUUUCAGUGUAUCGCUUGGUUACAGAUGUGUUGCGAAGACUUGUGUUUCCCUUGCAGAGGAAGCUCAGCUCUUUGAAAUACCCUUCUUCAAGUGAGGAUUGUUGUUUUGGAAAUGAAGGAAGUAGAUAUACUUUUUGUACUUAUUUAUUAACCACCUUCAUACACAACAAAAUACAACAUUGCUGCAUCCUACAUAGAUAUACAUUUUUAUCAUACUAGAGACUGCAAAACAUUUUUACAAAAAAAAUUGUCAGUUGUACCAACAUUAAUACAAAACAAUUCUCAACACAUAUUAAAUUUCCCAUCACAACACUUCCCCUUGUUGUGUUGGUUUGUACAAUCAUGAUAAAUACAUCAAUCCCAAUUUUUGGGUCAUAACCUUGGUCUUCACACCAUUUAGUACCUUAGUAAAUAGAUCUGCCAAGUUUUGGUUUGUGGGUACGUAAUGGAAUUUGACAACAUUUUCUUUUACACAUUCUCGGACAUAGUGGAACUUUAUGUCAAUAUGAUUUGCCUUUUCAGACAUUAUUUGGUUUGAUGCCUGGCUGAUAGCACCCUGGUUAUCACACUGUACAAGACAUGGGGUACUGAUAUACUUCGAUUGACUAAGCUCAAACAACAAAUUCCUUAUCCAUGCUACUUCUUUUGUUACUUCAGCCAUGACAACAAAUUCGGCUUCAACAGUGGACUGUGCAACUGCACUUUGCUUCAUGGAAUGCCAUGAAACUUCAGUCCCCGCCAAAAUAACAACAUAACCAGUAUAGGAUUUUCUAUCAACUUUAUCAUUACCAAAGUCUGCAUCACAAUAUACUUAUAUUUCUAUUGGAUUGCCUGUUUUGUAAUAACACAACUUAAGGUCAAUGGUUUUCUUUAAAUACCUAAGUAUGCUGUAUAUCACACCAAUGACUCAUUUUAGGUUCAUUACAUUUACGAGAAAGCUUGUUUACAGCAAAUGUGAUAUCUGGCCUCGUGCUCCCAGAGAGAUACAAUAAAGAGCCAACUGCUUGUCUGUAGAUGUUCUCACUGAACCAUACAUCUUGCCCUGGGACACUGCCUGACCUACUUAUCUCUAGCGGCGUGAAUAAGCCUUUUGCAUUCCCCAUUCCAAACUGUUCUAACACUUGUGUUAUGUAAUGGCUCUGAUCCAGUGCAAUGAUGUCACCAUUAAGCUUGGUAACCCUAAUAGAGAGAAACUGUGAGUCACUUGAAUUACUACUCUGACUUGGCUCCUCGAGUCGUAGUGUAAAAUGGUUUUGCUGUAUUCAAUAAUAAACCACGUUGGUGAACACUCUGAGUUAUUACUACACAAUACUGUGAAUUAUACCCUGAAUAAAUAUGAAUAUUUACAUGUACUGCUGUGUUACGAGUAGGUAUUUGCAUAGAUCUACUCCUUAGUAUGGUCCCACUGUCCAGUAGAGACUCUUUGAUUUUUAGAAUUGUUUCUGGGCGCCACUCUUAUGUAAACCUUAAUUUUGUUAUCAAGAUAGAACAAGUGUAGUGGAAUACAUACGAGAAAAAAAAAUAUAACACUUCAGAUCUAAUAUUGGUACAAAAGUGAAAACAUGUAGGUUUAGGGUCGUUGACAACAUAUACACAGUGAAAUAAUAAUAGAAUAAAAAUAGUAUUAAACAAAUAAUCUUUAAUAAGACAAAUAUAUAGAUAGUUAUUGGUUUGGCCAGUGGUAUACUCUUAUGUUUCUCAAAUAAACAGGAGAUAUGUUGCACACAUGACAAAUAUAACAAAAGCUCAUUUAUUUAAUUUAUUAUGUCCCUUGCUCUCACUCUUAGAUCGAAGAUAGUGUAUCAAAAUAAAGUUUAUUAUCAUUGUCAUUCAAUUUAAAAUAGUGUACCUCGGCUGAAUUCAGUGUGUAGGGAAGGUAGAACAUCAUGAGAACUCCGUCUCAUUUCACCUCUAGGUUAGAACUCGGAAUAUGUAAAACAGAUUAGUAAUUGGCUUAAAAUUGUUUGUCUCUGCAAGGCUUUACUUAGUUCGACACAAAAAUCAAUGUUUAUAUACGUGUUUGGCAGAAUCAAAUUACGUUUUUAGCAGAAAAACAGUCUUUUCAAUGUAUCAUUAUGAGUUGGUUUUACUCACGUUAAUUUCACACCUAAAUACACAUCAUGUAGGAUGUGCCCUAUAUAAAUUACAUAUAAUUAUGUUUAGACGGCGAUUAAAAACAUCCCUUCAACUGGAUGAUCUAUUUAGCUCAUUGAAUUAUCGGAUUUUCAAGGGGAUUGCAACCCAGGCUGUAUAGCCAACGCCGUAGUCAUUCCAAACUUUUUCCUAACUUUCUUAAAGACGCUUAACUUAAAGCAACUCGGCCUCCCAUUGGUCGAGACACAAAUAUCGUUGACGUAAUUAACACAUCAAAACAAAAUACAGACAUUCAACAAUACAUCUUAAAAUACUAAAAUGUCUCAAAUUCAAAACGUUAAUUUUGAACAAUGAAAAUUCUCUUAUACAAAUUACGUGCAAAAAGUUCAAUUUGCCAUUUAAGUCAUUAGUUCCCUAGAGGGGUCUUGUCAAUUGAGGCUUCAAUGUCACUCGGGCUACGCCAUAGAGUGUAGCACUCGUAGAUACGUCCAAUAACCAACAAUAGAGCAUAAACAUGAAAACGUAAACCAAUAAUAAUAAUAAUAAUAUAAAAUGUUAUUUAAAAUAAAAACAAUACACUUUCUGUGUGUGGGACAGUCAUGUAACAGCACAGAAUCGCUGCCCUUGAUAAGCAUAGUGUGUUGCAGUUUUCUAAUUUUGAACAAGGUACGGUAUGCUUUUCAGUUGGAAACUCGCUGCUCGGGUUAAAUAAAAAAAGUUUGUUGCCAGGCAACGACUCGCGCGACACCACAAAACGACGAAAAGAAGGAGGGAUAAAAAAAACUUUGGCGUGAGAAAGGACACCUGUCCCGCACCCCUCCGUCACAGAGUUCAGACCUGCGCUGGCCGUCGGUGCAUUUUCGUGGGAAAACUUGCAAUCUUGUUGAAGUUCUUGUAGUCGUCAGUCCUGGAACCAAGUCGGAUACAGUGGCCCUCGGAGGGCAAUACUCACGGUAUGUAUACGUCGCAAUCACAAGGGAAAUGUGAUGAAAUGUAAAUGUUGCAUAACAAUGGGACUUUAUCCAGGUCAUCACUGUAGCAGUGGAUCAGCCUCCAUCUGCGGCGUUGACAGCACCCUGAGGAAGACGAACCCGGGAUCGGCAUCACCGGUUGGCGACUCUCCUGCCCCUGCCUGUUGACCCAUUCCGGCACAGAACAUCAGCUGACGUCAUUGGCGCGCGGCGGUGGCGGAGCAGACGUGAUCACCAUCACCUGCUCCUGCUGGGGCGGCCGUCUAGGAGCGGCGAAUCCUGCCGCCCUGGUCCCGGACCAGUGCGUGACGCGGCGGAGCCCCGCGGCGUCAGCACAUCAUUGCGGCACACGUCAUUGUUAGAUCCUAAGAAGCUAUACUUUCAAUAUCAGCAGGGAAAGUUAAUUAAUAGCCCAAAUAUUGAUUUCUUUGGUUUACCAUUCACCAUAGAAAAAUUUGUCUACUUGGAGUGUGGUCAAGGCCAUAAUUAUCAGCAGUCUAAAGAGACUGUUUAUCCACUGGCUGAUCAUCCACUCUUGAAGAAAAAAUUUUUUUUUAUUCAAAAUUCAAAAAUAAUUGGAUGUCAAGCAAGAAUGACAGUAUGAUGUAUAAGGGUUUAUCCAGAUUUUACCUCGCCAAAUUUGAAGAGGAAAAAGUGUGCUGUCGUCAGCAGCCGGGCGAUACUGUGUCCGAAAAAUGAGGAUGUUGAUGUCAUCAACAAACAGAUGGUGUCCCGAUUAAGUACGGAAUCACGUACAUACAAGAGCUUCGACAGGCUGGAGGAGACAGCAGGAGGGAUGAAUGUGCCUGUCGAGUUGUUAAACACACUCACACUUGCUUCCCUUCCUCCUCACUCUUUGACCCUUGCUGUUGGAACAUGCAUCAUGCUUAUCCGAAAUCUAGAUCCCAAACAUGGUUUUUUUAAUUUAUAUUUGGAAAGGGCCUAGCCCCUGCAUCUUUUGAGUUGGGUUGGGUUGGGUUAUGUUAGGUUAGGUAAGUUUAGGUUAGGUAAGGUAAGGUUAGGUAAGGUAAGGUAAGUUAGGUUAUGUUGGGCACGACAUUUUCAACUAUUUCAGUCGCAAAUUUAUUAUGUAAGGUUAGGUUAUGAACGACAUUUUUAACUAUUCGUUUGUGGUUGUACAUACAAACAUACAUAUUACUAUUGUAUAUAAAUAUAAUUAUAUA